rnacentral:rRNA from 1 species
AGAGCGAACGCUGGCGGCAGGCCUAACACAUGCAAGUCGAACGGACCCUUCGGGUUAGUGGCGGACGGGUGAGUAACACGUGGGAACGUGCCCUUUGGUACGGAACAACUCAGGGAAACUUGAGCUAAUACCGUAUAAGCCCUACUGGGGAAAGAUUUAUCGCCAUUGGAGCGGCCCACGUCUGAUUAGCUAGUUGGUGGGUAAUAGGCUCACCAAGGCUCCGAUCGAUC